UACGUAGGUGGCAAGCGUUGUCCGGAUUUAUUGGGUUUAAAGGGCGCGUAGGCGGUCCGACAAGUCGGGGGUGAAAUCCUGCAGCUUAACUGCAGAAGUGCCUUCGAUACUGUCGGUCUUGAGGGAGAUAGGGGUGUGCGGAACUUCCAGUGGAGCGGUGAAAUGCGUUGAUAUUGGAAGGAACGCCGGAGGCGAAAGCGGCGCACUGGAUCUCUACUGACGCUGAGGCGCGAAAGCCAGGGGAGCAAACGGG
rnacentral:rRNA from 1 species